AUAAACGCUGGCGGCGUGCUUCAGGCAUGCAAGUCGAACGAUUUCCCGGCUUCGGUCGGGCGAUAGUGGCGGACGGGUGAGUAACACGUAAGUAACCUGCCCGGAAGUGGGGAAUAACCCGCCGAAAGGCGAGCUAAUACCGCAUGUGAUGGUCUUUCUACGGGCGGAUCAUUAAAGGCGAAAGUCGCUUCUGGAGGGGCUUGCGGCCGAUUAGCUAGUUGGUGGGGUAACGGCCUACCAAGGCAACGAUCGGUAGCUGGUCUGAGAGGACGGUCAGCCACACGGGGACUGAGAUACGGCCCCGACUCCUACGGGAGGCAGCAGCUAGGAAUCUUGGGAAUGGGCGAAAGCCUGACCCAGCAACGCCGCGUGGGCGAUGAAGGCCUUCGGGUCGUAAAGCCCUUUUGUGGGGGAAGAUGAUGACGGUACCCCACGAAUAAGCCACGGCUAACUACGU
rnacentral:rRNA from 1 species